GCACUCAAGUGAGAAAAAACGUAGGAACACGUACAAUUUCACGAUGCCAUUAUUCAAGGAAUAGAACGGACGACGUUUUCUACUAGAAAAAUGAUUUAAUCGAAAAAUCACAGUUGGGAAACUAGGAUACAUAAGUUAAUUAAUUUACAUCUGUAAGCAACGAUAAAUCAUUUAAGAACGUAAAACUAUUCUGAGCGAAGCUCGUUUAUACAUGUUUUGAAGUGUGGUUCUAUAU